UGGAAAGCUUAAAGGUACAUUGGU
rnacentral:siRNA from 1 species